rnacentral:rRNA from 1 species
AGAGUUUGAUCCUGGCUCAGGAUGAACGCUAGCGACAGGCUUAACACAUGCAAGUCGAGGGGCAGCGGGGGUAGCAAUACCCGCCGGCGACCGGCGCACGGGUGAGUAACGCGUAUGCAACUUACCUAUCAGAGGGGGAUAACCCGGCGAAAGUCGGACUAAUACCGCAUGAAGCAGGGGCCCCGCAUGGGGAUAUUUGCUAAAGAUUCAUCGCUGAUAGAUAGGCAUGCGUUCCAUUAGGCAGUUGGCGGGGUAACGGCCCACCAAACCGACGAUGGAUAGGGGUUCUGAGAGGAAGGUCCCCCACAUUGGUACUGAGACACGGACCAAACUCCUACGGGAGGCAGCAGUGAGGAAUAUUGGUCAAUGGCCGAGAGGCUGAACCAGCCAAGUCGCGUGAAGGAAGAAGGAUCUAUGGUUUGUAAACUUCUUUUAUAGGGGAAUAAAGUGGAGGACGUGUCCUUUUUUGUAUGUACCCUAUGAAUAAGCAUCGGCUAACUCCGUGCCAGCAGCCGCGGUAAUACGGAGGAUGCGAGCGUUAUCCGGAUUUAUUGGGUUUAAAGGGUGCGUAGGUGGUAAUUUAAGUCAGCGGUGAAAGUUUGUGGCUCAACCAUAAAAUUGCCGUUGAAACUGGGUUACUUGAGUGUGUUUGAGGUAGGCGGAAUGCGUGGUGUAGCGGUGAAAUGCAUAGAUAUCACGCAGAACUCCGAUUGCGAAGGCAGCUUACUAAACCAUAACUGACACUGAAGCACGAAAGCGUGGGGAUCAAACAGGAUUAGAUACCCUGGUAGUCCACGCAGUAAACGAUGAUUACUAGGAGUUUGCGAUACAAUGUAAGCUCUACAGCGAAAGCGUUAAGUAAUCCACCUGGGGAGUACGCCGGCAACGGUGAAACUCAAAGGAAUUGACGGGGGCCCGCACAAGCGGAGGAACAUGUG